GUAGGGAAUCUUCCACAAUGGACGAAAGUCUGAUGGAGCAACGCCGCGUGAGUGAAGAAGGUUUUCGGAUCGUAAAACUCUGUUGUAAGGGAAGAACAAGUACAGUAGUAACUGGCUGUACCUUGACGGUACCUUAUUAGAAAGCCACGGCUAACUACGUGCCAGCAGCCGCGGUAAUACGUAGGUGGCAAGCGUUGUCCGGAAUUAUUGGGCGUAAAGCGCGCGCAGGCGGUCCUUUAAGUCUGAUGUGAAAUCACGUGGCUCAACCACGUGCGGUCAUUGGAAACUGGAGGACUUGAGUGCAGAAGAGGAAAGUGGAAUUCCAAGUGUAGCGGUGAAAUGCGUAGAGAUUUGGAGGAACACCAGUGGCGAAGGCGACUUUCUGGUCUGUAACUGACGCUGAGGCGCGAAAGCGUGGGGAGCAAACAGGAUUAGAAACCCCAGUAGUCC
rnacentral:rRNA from 1 species